rnacentral:rRNA from 1 species
AACGAACGCUGGCGGCAUGCCUAACACAUGCAAGUCGAACGAGACCUUCGGGACUUGUGGCGCCUGGGUGCGUAAGGGGUGGGAACAUGCACUUAGGGUCGGCAUAACUACCCGAAAGGGGUGAUAAUACCGGACAAUGUCUAAGGACCAAAGAUUUAUCGCCUCUGAUUGGGCCAGCGUUGCAUUCGCUAGUUGGUAGGGUAAAAGCUUACGAAGGCGACGAUGAAUAGCUGGCCAGAGAGGGUGAUUAGCCACACUGGGACUGAGACACGGUCCGGAAUCCUACGGGAGGCAGAAGUAGGGAAUCUUCCGCAAUGGGCGAAAGCCUGACGGAGCAACGCCGCGUGAGUUAUGAAGGUCUUCGGAUCGUAAAACUCUGUUAUUAGGGAAGAACAUAUGUGUAAGUAACUGUGCACAUCUUGACGGUACCUAAUCAGAAAGCCACGGCUAACUACGUG